rnacentral:rRNA from 1 species
GACGAACGCUGGCGGCGUGCUUAACACAUGCAAGUCGAACGGAAAGGCCCUGCUUUUGUGGGGUGCUCGAGUGGCGAACGGGUGAGUAACACGUGAGUAACCUGCCCUUGACUUUGGGAUAACUUCAGGAAACUGGGGCUAAUACCGGAUAGGAGCUCCUGCUGCAUGGUGGGGGUUGGAAAGUUUCGGCGGUUGGGGAUGGACUCGCGGCUUAUCAGCUUGUUGGUGGGGUAGUGGCUUACCAAGGCUUUGACGGGUAGCCGGCCUGAGAGGGUGGCCGGCCACAUUGGGACUGCGAUACGGCCCAGACUCCUACGGGAGGCAGCAGUGGGGAAUAUUGCACAAUGGGCGGAAGCCUGAUGCAGCAACGCCGCGUGCGGGAUGCCGGCCUUCGGGUUGUAAACCGCUUUCGCCUGUGACGAAGCGUGAGUGACGGUAAUGGGUAAAGAAGCACCGGCUAACUACGUG